rnacentral:tRNA from 1 species
GAGAGAGGCCUGUGGCAGUAGGGACUGCUAAUCCUUGCCCCCGUAGUUAGAAUCUCCGGCUCACUCGG